UGACAAAAGAGCUGUGUCAAUUUAAUGGAAAAUUUACUUCUCAUCGUUUUACGCGUAAAGCCUUUGUAUCAUUAAAUGGCAGCCUAUGGGACAAAUUUGGAAAGCAAGGCACUUAUAUUUAGGAGAAAUUCAUAUGUCACUGGUUAUAUUAUCAUGGACUCAUUGCUUUCUUUCGGACUUAGACGAAGUAUCUUGGUUUAUCUGACGUGGUUGUAGGUGUUCUUGUGUCUACCUAUAUCCUUAUGGAGACUGGUGAGAUGACAAUUCUGAAAAGAUUGAGAAAGUAAAGAAAGCUUUUAUUCUCUUAUAUUCUUUUUUUUUUUUUUUAGAAUAUUUCAAACUGCUGUCACUGUUGGCAAAGUAAAGAUUCCUCUUCUCUUAUCAACAGAUAAUUAAUACAGUCUGGUCUAUUUCAUGUUUGGAAAAAUGUAGGUCUUGGACUUAAAGUUCCUGGUUUGACAAGGGCUAUGGGAGAAAAAAAAAGAAGCAAAAUGGGAAAUCAGUAAGACAGUGAGACAGAAUCAUGAAAGGGGCUACUCAAAAUCUUAGCCUAUUUAACCCUUUUGCAGAUAGCUUCCAAAUACUUCCAAUACAGUAAGCUCAGUUAUAGCUACUGGGUUUGUCCUUGCAAACCAGCCCUGAGCUACGUUUAACUUGAGAGUUAAUUUGCCGUCUCGAUAAUGACAGGCAAAUUGUCAACAUUUUGUAUGUCUUAUAUGCAUCUUUGGUUGGAACGCUUUGACUGCUCCGAAUAGUGCAAUGGACCAAAAAUUGUGAUUAAUUAAGUAACUCAAGGACUUGGAUCUUCAGUUGCCUGUUUACUGGAGAUUAAAAAAAAUAUAAUCCCGAGAACAGUAUGAUUUAAACCCCUUAUAAGUCCCUUUCGCUCCUGAGAAACGGUAUGGUUGAUCCCAUGUUCAUACAAACUCCUCUGUCUCUUACCUCUGUUAAAAAUUUCAAGCACUGCGUCUAAACUUCGUGGGUUUCCUCUGACCCAUGACAAGUAUGAGGAUCUUUAAUCCUGCUAUUGCAUGAAAAGGAAUUUUGACCCUCGUUCAGUCACUCUCUGGAGAAUUGAUGACAAAAGCGUAGUAUGACUCUCUUUAGUUCAGAAUUGGAGUCUGUGGAAGGGAACUUUUGGUGGGUGAUCUCUUAAGAACUCGACAUGAACUCCUACUCAGCGCUGCUUCUCCCAGCCAUCGGCCAGAACCACGGGGAGAGUGAGGUUGGCAUAGAUGCUUUCAGAACAAAUUACAUCACGUUUCUGAGUUGCCUGACUUCAUUUCAUGUUAAAUUAUAUUUUAAGGCUUGUUGAACUUCUGAGCUCACUUUCCACAUGUGUUUGAGAAGACGCUGACAAACGUCCUCCUCUAUGUAAAUUUGGUGUAACUGGCUCCACUUUCAGAAUGUCUUAUUUCUGUUGAUUGUCUUGGCCUCUGUCAACCUUGAAGCAAGUUCAGUACGACCUUACAUUCCAACUACUGUCCUUCUUUUCCCUCUCACUCUAUAAGUCAUUGGAAGGUGCAGAGAGACAUCAUACAGCUUUCAAAUUUCAUUCCAAAAAAUCGUGCUUAGACAUCUCUUCUCAAAUACUCUCCUCUAUCUCUCAAAACGUUCCUCACCGAAGCCAAUUUGUGUGUGAGAGGAGCUGUCGUAGUAAAAAUAAUAAACUUUAUUUUUCCAAGUGAAAAUAAAUGUUAUUGAUCAUAUUAUGCUCAUUUAUUGUUUUAUUUGGCUUGAAUGGACAAUUCCUCCUGUUCUCCAGCUACUGUCAGGAGGAGUGCCUUACCAUGGAUGAAUCAAUCUGGAAUUAACAUCAUUGUAUUUGAUAACGUUCCCUAAAAUAAGUCAUUUCAUUUGGUUACUUGUGGACACGUUGUGCAAAUAAUUAAUCCUAGCAGCUGCUCCAAUAUGCUUGUUCAAACAGUGUUUUAUGUAAUUUCAUUAAUGAGAAUUUUCUAUGGUCAUUUUAAGCAACUGUUAAACCUUUUGAAAACGUUCCGAGUGAAACCAUUUCAGCCAAAGCUUCUUAAACCAUCUGUGAUAAAGAACUGUUUUGUUGUUGUUCUUAUUGUUUAUUUGUUUAAUUUUCAUGCAGUCACAUUCCCAUACUUUUGUAGAAUGCACUGACCGUGUGCUUGGAUGGCAUGACAAUAUCAGAUUGUGAUAUAAGUCUCUUAGUGUUUAUUACCAGUUUCUGGACUUAUAUCACUGUGGACUGAGAGCAAUAGCAGACGGCCAUGCAGCCACGGGGCAAUUUGAAUGGCACUGAUAGAGGCUAUUGUCUGUGGUGCAGAACUUUGGGGUUUGAUCAAUAGGUUGUUCUUUUAUUAUAGCAAAAUUGUAAUAUGUAUUCAGGAAAGACUCAUUUUUCCCUAAAGGAAAACUUUUAGCCCUGCUUUCUAGAAGUAGGAUAUUCAUCUAUUGAGGAUGGAAUUAUGGAUUUGUAAAAAAUUGUCAACACUGCCGUUUACUAAUUAGGCUGCCAUUUGAUAUACAACAGAAUACUGGGCUUAUAAUCCAGUGCCUUGCCAGAGACUAUAACCUUGGAAUCCAACUCCUCUUAAAAGUUUAUAUGGAAGAAAGGAUUAUAUCCUCUAGAUCUCUUUUAGAUAUUCUAGGCUGUGGUUUAAGUUUUAUUUGCGUAUUUGGUUUUAACUUGGAUUGAGUCGAAGCAGUGACCAUCUGAGUUUGUGAAUCACGGCGCCUUGACUUCUGGUAGAAUCAUUUAACUGAGGUAAGUAUAAAUCAUGCCCUUGGCUUUUAUUUAGAGAUGACAUAAAAAAAUACCAAACUCAAAUAUCCCAUUCUCCUCAGGUAUUUUGGGGGACAUUUUCCAUUUAGUACUUCAUAUUUGAAAAUUCAUGUGAAUAAUCAAGUUUAUUUCAUUUUUAUAGAGAAGUCCCUCUUUGCAAGUUAUUUUUUUGAACGCAGUGAACCUCACCUAUGAACAAGAAUGAAUUGUUGAUCUGGUCCAGGCUCAGAUGUUACUGGAGCAAAUCCACAGAAGCUUCACCCUAGGUAGGGGUGGCCAAGAGGAUGAGGCUUCGUCUCUUCUCGGUUUCCAGUCAAAGCUUACUUUAUCCCAUUGAGACAGAAAGUUACCAGCAUUGCUCAUUUCCUCCAACUUCAAGUCGAAGAGGCUAUAUUGCUGAAAUUACUAAAAGAAUGAAGAUAUAUUUUCUACUUUCAAAAUGAGCAGAAGAGAAAGAAAACAAUCUAAGGAAUCUUUGGAGACUACCAAAGACUGAUGUCAAGAAAAGGGUUCGGUAACUUAGGAGGUGGGACAGGGUUGUUUGUACCUCUGCUCUCAGCUCCGCUUCUCAUCUUCUGUGCUCCGCUCUGUAUCACAGAGGGCUGGAUGCCCGAAAGGUACCUUCCUGAGACUUCCUUGCCUGCUGGCUUCUGUUAGACUCUGACACCGUGGCAGGUGAGUAGAAGUUGGGAGGAAGGAAACUAGGCAAAAACUCACACCUUUUUUAGGUGGGGAGGGCAGAGCGUUUAGCAUAGGCUUCAGCUGCAGUUGCAGAGGGUGACAGUGAGCCCCUGGGCUCUUCCUCAGGCAGCCUGCUUCCAGCAGCUUGUACAGGUUUCCGGGGGCAUAGCAAAGCAGCAGUAGCUGCAGGGGCUUUAGCGGCCCUGGCUAACGUGCCCUGACUCCGUCUGUUUCAGUGACAGAUGCAAGGAACUCUGGGCCCCAGGAUUCCCACCCUAGCAACAGGAGAAUGGGCCAUGGUUUCCGCGAGGCAGCUGCCUCACUGCUUCCAGAUAGUAGAGGCCACAGUGGGGCCCAGCAGCUCCACAGGGCAGUGACUGUCUUACUGAGGACACCCUUUCCCUUCUGCUUGGGUAGCCUAAGAUGGCACUGGCUUACUGCAGAUACUAAUCACUUGGGAACCUUUUCGUUUCCCUUUUAAACCUUUUGUCACUUAUUCCCUGUAUUAAAUUUCCUCCAGUUGAAAUACCAGUCGAAGUUUCUAUUUUCCUGACUGGACAGUGAUACUGAAUACACGAUGACACUACAGUACUGCAGAAAUCAAGCCAGUUUUUUCCUUUGUCUUUUCUUCCACUCUUACAGUUUAAUUUACCAUUAGGUAUUUUAAAAUUUACAUGUGUAGAAUAAAUCUUCUCAUUGAUUUAAUAUGUAGUAUGUAAAUAAAUGAAGAUUGCAUGAUAAAAUACAUACAAAUAGAAAUAAGAAUAUUAAGUCAAGGAAAAAUAGUAAAUUCUAGGUUUUGUAUUUUAAUACAAAAACAUUACUAAAAUAUACUAAGUCCUCCUGGAAUUUACUAUGUGGAGUAUAAAUAAUAAUGACUUAAAUCAAGAUAGGCAUCAUAUGGUAAGGAAAUACAUCUUCCGUUCUCCUAGUUCUUUUUUUUAAAAUUUAAUUGAAUUUAUUUUUGUACAGCAGGUUCUUAUUAGUUAUCUAUUUUACACAUAUUAGUGUAUAAGCAUAUAUAUGUCAAUCCCAAUCUCCCAAUUCGUCCCGCCACCACCACUGCCCCCCCGCCCCGACUCCUUUAUUUGGCACAUAUCGAGUAGAAAAUAUGAUUAUACUUCUAGACUAGAAAUCCCUUCUAAGAUUGUUCACUAGAAUCCAAGUUUCAGAUUUUGAUUUGUUUAUGACUUGUCACAGUGAAUCUAUUAACAAGUAUUGUAUUUCCUGAUUGUGUUUGAAUUACGAUAGGGUAUUUCUCCAUUGGGUUUCAAGGAUCGUGAUGUGAUUCAUUGUGUGUAUUUAUGAGUUGCUCAUAUAAUUACAGAGACAAAAAUACAUAUGAAAUGAAGACACAAUUUUAGGCAUAGGAAAAAAGGUUCACUUUUAUGAACAUUAUCAGUGAAACAUGUGACACACCAAGAGAGAAAUACACCAGAUGAAGACCCCAUGUUAUAAGAGGAUGUGCUUACCUUGUUUUGUGCAAUCUGGUGCAUUCCUAUAUCUAGAAAAGUUCUCAACGUCCAGGAAUACUAGAUAAUUGUAUAGGAAAGGUCUUUUAUUGUUUUCUUGUUUAUUGAUGAUUGAUUUUUUAAUAUUUUUGUAGAUCUUUAUUGCAGUAUAAUUGCUUUACAAUUCCGUGUUAGUUUCUGUUGUACAACAGAGUGAAUCAGCCAUAUGCAUACACAUGUCCCCAUAUCCCCUCCCUCUUGAGCCUCCCUCCCACCCUCCCUAUCCCACCCCUCUAGGUCGUUGCAAAGCACCAAGCUGAUCUCCCUGUGCUAUGCAGCUGCUUCCCACUAGCUAUUUUACAUUUCGUACUGUAUAUAUGUCGCUGCUAGUCUCACUUCACCCCAGCUUCCCCCUCCCCACCCCGUGUCCUCAAUGCAUAGGAAAGGUCUUUAAUCCAGGAUUUUCUAAGGAUGACUAAAAGAUUUAUUGAGAAUGAGUGAAACCUCAAUCAGAAUUAGAACUACAAAUUUCACUACACAUUAAAUUAGGCACUAGUCAAUGUGCCUGUACAUUUAUAGAUGGUAUUUUGAUAUAAGCUUUAUUUUUUUUCACUUCCUUGUAUGCAGCUGGUCCCCUACUGGGUCCGUAUAGAUUGCCUUUACAUAGUAUUGAUAUAACAGAGAGGGCAGAGUGUGGACUCAGGAUGCAAGCUGUCUGGCUUCGAUUCCUGGUUUCAUCACCAACUGUGCAGUCUUGGUUAAGUUUCUUAAUCUUCCUGUACUUCAGUAACAUCAUUUAUUAAAUGUUAUGAGUGUAAAAUGGAUAACACAGGCAAGUGCUUAGCAAGAUAUCUGCCACGGUCUCGGUCUCAGGACGUUGCCACAUUAAGACUGUUAUAGCUGGGAUGCAGAGGACAAAGCAGUCGAGGUCAGCUGUUUGCACUUUAAAACAGGCUCGUAAAGUCCAUUUCAGGUGAUUAAAAGUAGGCUUUCAAUCACAAAGGAGACUUGAAAACAGUUUUCUAAAUUAUCAAAUCUUCUCUUUAAACAUCACAUCAGGAACAGAAGUUUGGAGGAUUGAACAUGAAGUUUUUACUACAAACUAUGGAAUAGGAAGCAUGAUUUAGGGGCAAUUUCCUGCUGAACAGUGAUUAGAUAAAAGUCCUUGGCCAGGGGAAAGCACUGAAGCAAGAGAGAGAAAAGUGCGUUGAGGCUUCAGAGGGAAGCCUACUCCCAUAUCGUAGGUGAUUUCAGGGACAGAGAGCAUGUUCUCUGUUCCCAUUUGGGAGGCAGGGCUCUAUAAUGCUCCCCAAAUGGGAUGACCAGAGGAUUUUACGUGAAGGUUUUGCGUAUUCAUGCAGAAAGAGGGCUUGGCUUGCAUCUUUUGUUGCAUCGCAGAGUUCUGAAAGACCUGGUGGUGUGGAGAAAAUCACGAAAUUGCUUCAUGCCUGAAGAGAGAACAUCUGAUUGUAAAGAAGGUUAGUAGAUCACUGGAGGCCUGGGGUUGAGAUAAGGGGCAAAAUGAGUGUGUACACAUCAAGACCAUGGUAGGGGCUCUGGUCAUGAGCAAGGCUCUGUGGAUACGUCAGCUGUGGAUACAGAGAGAACAAAGGUGGUCAUAAAAGUUUAAUAUGGAGGGUGAUAUAGUCCAUUGGAACCUGAGGAGUACCCUUGAAAAAUACACUCCCCCACUCCCUCUGUUGUGAUGACCUGUCAGCAGCUGCUUACUUUCCAAAGCUCUCCCACAGGGGACUGGGUCAAGAGGCAAGCGCCCAAGAGGAGUGCAUAUCAUUAACAUCUCUGUUAAUUAAAUACACCAAAAAGAACGUUUCGACAAGAUGUGACAGAAUUACCUGCAGAAGCCUAGAUUAUAUUUCUUAAAAAAAAUAGACUUCAAUUUGUAGAGCAGUUUUGGGUCCACAGCAAAAUUGAAUGGAAGGUACAGAUAUUUCCUAUAUAACCCCCAUCCCUACACAUGCAUGGCCCCCACCAUGGUCAGCAACCCCCAUCACAGUGGAACAUUUGUCACAAUUGAUAGACCUAAAAUGACACAUUAUUACCAGUGAGAGUCCAUAGAUUACCUUAGAGUUUUUCUGAGAGGGUUUACUUGCCCUUCGUUUUUGAAGGAUUAUUUUGCAAGGUACAGAUGACUGGGUUGGUGGUUUUUCUUCUCUUAACACUUUAAAUAUUGCACUCCACUCUCUUCUGGCUUGCUCCUUUCUGAGAAGUCAGAUGUAAUUCUCACCUUUGUUCCUCUCUCAGUGUUGAUUCGUUGUGGUGUCUUGCAGGAUUUUUUUCCUUUAUCUUUGAUCUUCUGUAGUUUGAAAAUGAUAUGCCUAGAUGUACAUUUGGGGGGCAUUUAUCCUGCUUAACAUUCUCUGACCUUUCUGGAUCUGUAGUUUGGUAUCUGAUAUUAAUUUGGGGGAAAUUCUCAGUCACUAUUGUUUCCAAUAUUUCUCCUGUUAACUUCUCUCUUUCUUCUCCUCCCUGUUUUCCCAUUAUGUGUAUGUUAGAACUUUGGUAGUUGUCCUAUAGUUUAUGGACAUUAUGUUCUGUUUUUCUUUAUUACAGUUUUUUUUUCUAUUUGCUUUUCAGUUUUGGAAGUUUCUAUUAAGAUAUGCUCUAUACCUGAAACGAACACAACAUUGUCAAUUAACUAUACUCCAAUAAAAAUUUUUUAAAAAACGAUAUGCUCAAGUGCAGACAUUCUUUCCUCACCUGUGUCCAAUCUACUGCUAAACCCAACAAGGGAAUUCAUUUCUGUUACAGUGUUUUUGAUCUCUAGCGUGUUUCUUUCUCUCUCUUUCAUAGGAUUGCCAUCUCUGUUUAUAUUGCCCAUCUGUCUUGCAUGCUGUCUAUCCUUUAGAGCUCUUAAAAUUUUAAUAAUAAUUGUUUUAACUUUCUGGUCUGAUAAUUCCAAUAUCCCUGCCAUGUCGUCUCCUAAUGCUUGCUUAGUCUCUUCAGAGCGUGUUUUUGACCGUAGUAUGUCUUGCAAAUUUUUUUGGUAGCCAGAUAUGAUAUGCUGGGCACAAGGAACUACUGUAAAUGGGCCAUUAGUAACGU